rnacentral:tRNA from 1 species
UCCCUGGUCUCUCAGAGGUUAAAGUGUCUGCCUCCAAUGCAGGAGACCCAGGUUCGAUCCUGGGUUGGGAA